rnacentral:rRNA from 1 species
CGCAGCUGAUCAGCCAUGCCGCGUGAGUGAUGAAGGCCCUAGGGUUGUAAAGCUCUUUCAGCGAGGAGGAUAAUGACGUUACUCGCAGAAGAAGCCCCGGCUAACUUCGUGCCAGCAGCCGCGGUAAUACGAAGGGGGCUAGCGUUGUUCGGAAUCACUGGGCGUAAAGCGCACGUAGGCGGACUGAUCAGUCAGGGGUGAAAUCCCGGGGCUCAACCCCGGAACUGCCUUUGAUACUGUCAGUCUUGAGUCCGAGAGAGGUGAGUGGAACUCCGAGUGUAGAGGUGAAAUUCGUAGAUAUUCGGAAGAACACCAGUGGCGAAGGCGGCUCACUGGCUCGGUACUGACGCUGAGGUGCGAAAGCGUGGGGAGCAAACAGGAUUAGAUACCCCGGUAGUCA